GAUGAACGCUGGCGGUGUGCCUAACACAUGCAAGUCGAACGAGCCUUCGGGCUAGUGGCGGACGGGUGAGUAACACGUUAGUACCUGCCCUUUAGUGGGGAAUAACUCGGCGAAAGUCGAGCUAAUACCGCAUGUGACCGUUUACGGUCAAAGACUUCGGUCGCUAAAGGAGGGGCUUGCGUCUGAUUAGCUAGUUGGUAAGGUAAAAGCUUACCAAGGCGACGAUCAGUAGCUGGUUCGAGAGGANGACCAGCCACACGCGGACUGAGAUACGGCCGCGACUCCUACGGGAGGCAGCAGUGAGGAAUCUUCCACAAUGGGCGAAAGCCUGAUGGAGCAACACCGCGUGCAGGAUGACGGCCUU
rnacentral:rRNA from 1 species